rnacentral:rRNA from 1 species
CGCAUCUGUGCAUGCAGCAUAUCAAUAAGCGGAGGAAAAGAAACUAACAAGGAUUCCCUUAGUAACGGCGAGUGAAGCGGGGAGAGCUCAAAUUUGAAAUCUUCAAGGUUUUACCUUGACGAAUUGUAGUUUAAAGAAGUGUUUUCUGUUGAAGUUUUGGUAAAAGUUCUUUGGAAUAGGACAUCAUAGAGGGUGAGAAUCCCGUAUUUGACCAUUAUUUUCAGCUGUGUGAUACACUUUCAAAGAGUCGGAUUGUUUGGGAAUGCAGUCCAAAAUGGGUGGUAAAUUUCAUCUAAAGCUAAAUAUUGGCGAGAGACCGAUAGCGAACAAGUACCGUGAGGGAAAGAUGAAAAGAACUUUGAAAAGAGAGUUAAACAGUACGUGAAAUUGUCAAAAGGGAAGCGUUUGACACCAGUGUUGUUUUUCUGAAAAUCAAUUAGAGAACUGUUUAUGCUAAGUUGUUUAGACUUUAUCAGCUAACUGUUUAGUUUUGAGCUUUUCUUUAAUGCACUUUUCAGUUAACAAGUCAACAUCAAUUUCUUUUGCUGUAAAAAAGCUUGAGGAAGGUAGCUUGAGAUUCGUCUUAAGUGUUUAUAGCCUCUUGCCUAUGCAGUCGGAGAGAUUGAGGUCUGCAGCGUAGAUCCUUCGGGGCUAAAUGCAUUUGUGCUAAGUUAUAGCAUUUUAUAGACAACUUGUUGACUAUGAUUAGUCUUGUAGCUUACUCGCUUAUGUUAUUUUACCUACGCUUAGGAUGUUGAUGUGAUACUGCGAGCA